AGGAAACUCAUCUUUAUUAUCUGGACAGAGUGACCUGCACACUGACCUCCACUUCACCUGGCAAGCUUUGGUCACUGUCAGUCAUGCAGCCCUGCAGUUCUGCUCUCUGUGUCCUGUUACUGACCUCUACAUUCACUACAGAGUCGUGGAAUCCUACAGUGAAGGUGAAUCUUCAUGACUCUGCUACUCUGCCCUGCUCUGAGAGAUGUCCUGGUUUGGUCAGAUGGACUGUGUUUUAUAAGCCCACUGAUGUUCAGGCUGAGUGUGA